CGAGCUACAUUACUAUAACAGGCAACUUAUGUUGUUUGUUAGGGUUGCCUCGUCCAUAUCCAAGUUUGCAGCCUCAAGUACUCUUGAGCAAUCUGCUAGGAAGCUUUUCAUUGUUUUCCUUGAUUUCAUUGUGAGAUUGCUAUCUCAUUUGGAUUGAUUUGUAUACAUCAAGGAACUUGUCACAAUUUAACCAUCAAGAGUGUCCAUUGGUGGAUUCCAAGAAGUUGAGCUUGGAUGCUCUGAAGGAGUUCAAAGCAACUCAUAGUUGUGGAUUCAACUUGGGUGUUGUGGAUUCAACAUCAUGUUAUUCAAUCCCGAGAUGAAGGCGUUGGUGGAAGCGACACAGGGAGUGGAAGACAAUACGAGAGUGAGUUGGGUUAUUGUUUGUACUCUUGUGUAGUUUCAUUAUCUUCAUAGUGGAUCAUUUAGUGGCCUUUGGCCGUGGUUUUUUAUUUUUUAUAUAUUUAUUUUUUUUGUCACAAUUAGAGGUGUUUCAUUUGUGCCUUUUCCACUUUAAAUCUCUUGUGUAGAUUUAUCUAUUGUGAAACAACAAUCUAAAUCACUUUUGUACGUGCUAGAUGAUUUAGAUUGUUAGUUUUGUGUGUUUGGGAUUUAUUGCAAUUAAAUCUAUAUUGAAUCAUGAAUCACUUAGAUUUUUCAAUUGGUAUCAGAGCAGGUUACUCGUUCUUUGAUUACUUUUAAAGCUAUAGGAGUGUAUUUUUUGUGAUUUGUAUUAAUGGAUUCAAUUCGUGAAGGUAAUUUAACCCAUAGACCUCCUUUACUUGACGGAACAAAUUACUCAUAUUGGAAAGCUCAUAUGAGGGUAUUUUUAAAAUCCAUUGAUGAGAAAGUUUGACAUUCUGUUAUCUAUGGGUGGAGUGAACCGGUAUUGAUUAAUGAAGGUGUUGAAAUUCCCAAACCAAUUGAUAAAUAGGAUACAAUUGUUUAUCAAAACUCGAACUGGAAUAGUAAAGCUCUCAAUUCCCUCCUUUGCUCCAUUACCCAGGAAGAGUUUUGUCGUAUUUGUACUUGUGAGGUAGCAAAAGAGGCUUGGGAUAUUCUUGAAACGAUUUGUGAGGGUACCACUUUUGUUAAAAGGUCAAAACUUCAACGUCUCACCUUAGCUUUUGAAACUCUUUUUAUGCGAGAGGAUAAAGCAUUGGAUGAAUUUUAUGCUAAACUCAAUGAUAUCGUGAAUUCCUAUUUCACGCUAGGUGAAAAAAUCCCUAAAUCUCGAGUCAUUGGAAAAAUUUUGAGGUAAUUACUCAAUAGAUUCCAAUCAAAAGUGAUGGUUAUAGAGGAGGCUUAGGAUGUUGAUAACCGCAAGCUUGAUCAACUGGUUGGAAACUUGCAAACCUUCGAGGCAAACUUGAUUUCAAAGAAAAAACAAUAGGAAACAGUGGCCUUUUCUAGUACUCAUGAGGUUGCAUGGAAUCAUAAAUUGAUCUAGAGUCCAAAAUGACGGUUUUAUUUAUAAAAUAGUUCAAACUGUUUUUUAAGAAAAAGAAGCCUAAUUUCAAGGAAUCUAGUUCCAAGGAUAAGGGUAAUGAUAAACUCAAAUUUGUUUCAAAACUCUAGAAAAAGAUAAUGAGAGGACAAUGAGUCAAAUGUUAUGAAUGCCAAGGGUUUGGGCAUUUGGCUCUUGAAUGACCUUCCAAGAAAAACAAAAAGAAAGUUUACAUUGUGACUUGGGAUGAUGAUAGUGAAUUUGAGCAAGAGGCCGAUGAAGCAUACUUCGGAGAAGAUGGUGAGAGUACCUUCAUGGCAUUUUAUUCCAAUGUUCCUCAAUCUACUCCAAGGCUUGUUCAGUUUGCAAGAGGUGCCAACCUCUAUCGUGCUCUUACUUGUGAUAGGAGUAACUAUUCAUUCUGGAAAUGUAGAAUAAGUGUGUUUCUUCAAGCUUGGGAUCCAGAAUGUUGGCAAACAAUUGAAGAAAAUAUUGAAGCUCCAUUUGUGAUUGAUCCUGUCACAAAUCAAAAAUCUAUCAAGCCUAUAGAAAAGUGGAUGAAAGUGAAAGAGUUGAUAUGGAUAGUAGUGAACGUGUCUUGAACACCAUUAGAGAAGCUCUUUCUGAAGAAGAACAACAAUGCAUCUUUUAUUGAGUUAAUGCUAAAGAUUCUUGGGAUGUGUUAUUGCAAUUCCAUGAAAGAGCAGAAUCAUCUUCACAAGCAUCUAGUUUCUCUCGCUUCAAUGCUCUAGUUGCUCGACUGGAUAGACUGAGGUGGGUGAGAAUCAAAGGUAGGAUGUAGUUUUAUCUGUGAAUGUUGUUGAUAAUGAAUCUUCUGAGAGUGAAGAUGAAAUAGAUAGUGAAGAACUCCAACAAGCUUAUGAAAACUUGUACACAUAAUCUCUAGACUUGUCAAAGUUUAACGACAAACUCACUGUCAAAUUCAAAGCUUGUGAAACUGAGAACGGCAAAUUAAAAAAGGAGAUAUCUGAGAAAAGGAAUGAUGUUAUCAAGAUCGCUAAUGAUCGGCAAGCCCUCACUGCAAAAAUAUUGAUGAGUGAGACUAAGCGAAAUGAGAUUUAGAAAAUUUAUGUAAUCUAUGAAGAAAAUAUUGAAACUCUCGAGAUGUCUCAAGAAGCUUUAGAGGAACUUGUCAAAGAGAAAGAAGAAUAACUCAAGAGUGCAAAGGCAAAAAUUGAUCUAUGGAACAAAGGGUCAAAGAUAUUGGAGGAUAUCAUUGGGUCUCAACAAAUUAGUUUAGACAAGAGCGGGAUUGGCUAUGGAGGUCAUCAACCGCAGUAUCGAAAUGCCUCCAUAUCUCAUGAUAAAAGAACUCAAGGAAAGGGAAAAGAAAAAGUGCAAUAUGGUGAUAAUUUUCAACAUCAACCCAAAGCUGGUAUGAAUGGUGAAAAGGAGGUAAAACUUGUUUUUAUUGGUCAUCAUUGUGGUAGGUAUGGCCAUAUUCAUCCUUAUUGUUUUAAGUUGUUUGCUAGGGUGUCUCAAAGAGGUAGAAGAAAUCCUAAUAGCUCGUGAGUUAGGAGACAACCCUACAUGUUAAAGUGGAAUACCAUGGCUCACAAUGGUACUCUCAAUGCCAAGACAUUACCCAAGAAUCGUGAUGAUCCUUCUCUAGUCCAGACUAGAAGAGUGUGGGUAAGAAAAAAUUACUUGUCUUGUUUUGUUGUUCACACUGCUUAUAAAGCGCGUGACUCGCAUAUGUGGUAUCUUGAUAGUGGCUUCUCUCGUCAUAUGUCCGAUGACAAGUCCUACUUCAUAUCUCUUGAAAAUUAUGAAGGAUGAAUUGUCACAUUUGGAGAUGGAAACACCUCUAGAGUCAUUGGUAAGGGCUCCAUAAGUGCUCCUGGUCUACCUAAAGUGCUCCGGGUCUACCUAAAUUGGAUAGUGUGUUGCUUGUUGAUAGACUUAAGGCUAAUCUUUUGAGCAUUAGUCAAAUGUGUGACUCACACCAUGAGGUAUCAUUUUCAAAAGAUAAAUGCGAGAUUUUGGAAAAAAAUGGAAAUACUAUUUUGCAUGGUGUGUGCACAUCAGACAAUUGCAGUGGUAUUAACACAACCAGUGAUCUUACUUGCCAUUCAGCCACCAUAAGCAAUCUUGACUUGUGGCAUCAACGUUUAGGUCAUAUCAACUACAAAGACCUAACUAAGAUCGCCAAUAACGAACUUGCACGAGGAGUGCCAAAAUUGAGUAAGUCUUUGAACCAUGUGUGCAGGCCAUGCCAAUUGGGCAAGCAAACUUGUGCUUCACACAAGAAGGUGAAUAGCUUAAUGACCAAGCAUCCUCUUGAGUUGGUUCAUAUGGAUCUUAUGGGUCCCAGUUGCACUAAGAGCAUUGGACGUAAAAGAUAUAUUUUUUUCUAAUCGUUGAUGAUUUUACACGCUUUACUUGGGUUAAUUUUUUAUGUGAAAAUUAUGAUACUUUUGAUGCUUUCAAGUCAUUGGUCCUAAAGAUCCAAAAUGGACGUGGGGAUACCAUUGGGCGUAUCACUAGAAUCUGAACUGAUCAUGGUCGUGAGUUUGAAAAUAGUUAUUUUUUAGAUUUUUGUGAUAUGCAUGACAUCAAACAUGAUUUUUUUGCACAUAUUACUCCAUAGAAAAAUGGUGUUGUUGAGAGGAAGAACCGUGUGGUUCAAGAAAUGGCUAGAGUUAAGCUUUCGAGCAAGAAAGUUCCUCUCAAUUUUUGGGCCGAAGCCUUAAAUACAGCGGUUUAUGUUGUAAAUUGUGUAUAUUUGAGGCUUGAUACUUUGAAAACUCCUUAUGAGCUGUGGAAAUGAUUGAAACCCAAUGUAAAAUACUUCAAAACUUUCAGGUGUAAAUGUUACAUUUUCAAAGAUAGAGAGCCUUUGGGCAAAUUUAACUUCCGUAGUGAUGACGGUAUUUUUCUAGGGAAUCCAACUAUAAGUAGAGCCUUUCGUGUUCACAAUCCACGUACAUUAUCUAUCAUGGAAUCUAUCAAUGUGGUUAUAGAUGACACAAGUUCUCCGAUAGCAUCUCUACACAAGGAUGAAGAAGGUAAUCCUCAAGCACAGAAUGUGGCUACUUCAAGCCAAGAGAAAACUCAAGAGGUGAAACAAACACCAUAUCAUUUUUCAAGUCCAAAUACUAUAAACAUUCUAGGAGGUUUAACCUUGUCCAAUCUAGUCCCCUCAUCUCCUAUUUUGGAGCCAUUGUCAAGGGUGAAGCUGAAUCUUCCAAUUCAAAAAGUGAUAGAGAGUGUCACCGAUUGAAUGAAAACCUGAAGGCAGAUUUGGGAAGAGGUAUCACUUGUGUGUUAUGUUUAUAUAAUUGAACCUAAAAACAUAAAAGAGGCCCUACAUGAUGAUUGUUGCGUAAAUGCUAUGAAUGAAGAAUUGGGUCAAUUUGAACGUAACAAAGUUUGGAUGCUUAUUCCUAGGCCGAAUGAUGUUAACGUGAUAGGUAUCAAAUGGAUUUUUAAGAAUAAAUCUAAUGAGAAUGGUAUUGUCAUUAGGAACAAGGUUAGGUUGGUUGCUCAAGGCUAUAUGCAGGUUGAAGGGGUUGACUAUCAUGAGACGUUUGCCCAUGUUGCACGUCUCAAAUCCAUUCGCAUUUUAUUUCUUGUUGCAUGCUUUCUUGGUUUCAAACUUUUUCAAAUGGAUGUUAAAAGUGCUUUUCUAAAUGGGUGGUUGAAAGAGGAAGCCUCUAUUGAGCAAUCAAAGGAUUUCGAGGACCUUAAAUUUCUCAAUCAUAUCUACAAGUUAGACCAGGCUUUGUAUGGAUUGAAACAAGCCUCUCAUGCUUGGUCUGAUAGAUUGACCUCUUUUCUUAUUGACAAUGAUUUUAAAAAGGGUAGCGUGGACAAGACCUUAUUUGUUAAACAUAUUAUGUCACAAAUUCUUGUUGCUCAAAUUUACGUUGAUGAUAUUGUGUUUGGAUCCACAUCUGAAUCUUUUGUUAAGUAUUUUUGGAUUGCAUGACACGUGAAUUUGAAAAUGAGCAUGAUAGGUGAGUUGUUUUUCCUUUUAGGUCUUCAAAUUAAACAACUGUCAUGUAGUGUGUUUGUGUCUCAAACUGAGCAUGCAAAGAAUCUUGAGUCUAUGUUUGGUCUUGAGUCUGCUAAACCUACACAUACCCCGAUGAGAACAACUCUUCAUCUGUCUAAAGACUCCUCUGGCACUAAUGUUGAUUAUACUCUUUAUAUGAGCAUGAUAAGAAGUCUUUUGUAUCUUACAACGAGUCGACCUGAUAUUGCUUUUAGUGUUGGUGUCCUUGUCCGCUAUUAAGCUAGUCUUAAGAAGUCCCAUCUUCUAGCUGUCAAGUGCAUUGUCAAGUAUGUAAGUGGGAUUUUGUGGUAUGGGAUCUGGUUCUCUUCCGGCACUACAUCCAAAAUUACCGGGUUUUUUGAUGUCGAUUGGGUAGGGUGUGUGAAUGAUCGCAAAAGCACAUUUGGGGGUUGUUUUUAUCUCAGCAACAACUUGGUUGCAUGGCAUAGCAAAAAGUAAAAUGCCAUCUCUCUUUCGACCGUCGAGGCAGAGUAAAUUACUAUAGGGAGUUGUUAUACUCAAAUGAUUUGGAUGAAACAAAUGCUUCAUGAUUAUGGUUUAGACCAGAGCACACUCAGCCUAUUCUGUGAUAACAUUAGUGCCAUCCACAUUUCCUGCAAUCCGGUUCGUCACUCUCGUACCAAACAUAUUGACAUUAGUCACCAUUUCAUCCGAGAGUUAGUUGAAGAGGGUCUCGUUGUUCUUGAACAUGUUACUACUGAGCAUCGAAGAGCUAACAUUUUUACCAAACCCCUUGAUCUUCUUAGGUUUGAAUUCCUUAGAAAGAUCUCGGGUGUAGUUCUCAUUGACUAGAUUGUCUCUUGUUACAUAAGUGGUUGUGGGUAAACUCAUUUUGUAUGCAAGGGUCAAAUAGCUGCUUGUUUUUCUGCUCAUGAUGAAUGUACAUGCUUGUUUGCUUCAUGAACUCAUUAUGUACAUAUCCUUGAGUUAAGCAUUUGCAGGGGUUUCCGCAUAAGUGAUCAAAGUUCUCUAUGGACUUCUAGCUUGGGAUCUAGUGCAUUUGAUGGGAAAUUGACCUUUUGCCAACAUAUCAUAGGUGAUGUUGAGUCUCUUAGCCACCAUCCAUCUUAUUGCACUUCCAUGGCUUUUCCCUAUUUUCUAAUGAUCUCAAAGCAUGAGGAAAUAGCUACCUCAGAGGCACCAACCAGGCUUUCAUUAUAUAUUUCCAUUCGUCUCUAGUUUGGCUUUUAUAAUCUGAGCGUGAAAGCCAUCGGUGAGUGCCCUAAAAAAAUUGAUUUCCUUGACUGAUGGGGAGCUUUCAUACUUACUCAACAAAUACCCCUUGAUCACUGGUUGUUUGACUUUUCUUAGUUCUGCUCAAACUUUCUUGCUGGAGGACUAGCCAUCAGAUCACUACUAGGAUUAACCCUAGCGGGUGUGGACGUUUAAGGAUUGCACUCACACACACAAACACACACACACUCCUUCGUAUGAGACUUCAUGAUUGCACUUAAGCUGGGUAUUCAUGUAUUGACAAAUGCUUGAUUUUCAAAAACCUCGCCUUGCUUGCUAAUGAUUUCAUAUUCACAUUAUCUAUCUUGCAAGUUUGACGGUCUUAUGAUGUAUAAUUAUCCCAUCUUAGUAUCACAUUAGUGUUAUCUUUACCAAUACAUUUUUGUUUCAGGUGAUACUCUAUUGGAUGAGUGAUUUUGGAUGCUUAGAAAGGUGUGUUUGAGGACAAAGAGAUGUAUCUUGUUUUCUUGGCAUCGCUUGAGCGAUGCUUCUUGUGCUCAAGCGGUAAAACUUUCCUCAUAGUAUUUUUUCAGGUGUUUCAAACUCCUGAGAGGCGCGUUUCUAUGCUCUCGAGCGAUGGCUUGCUUGUUAGUGGGUUCGCUCGAGCGGGCAUUAGGUCUCUCUCUGUUUGUCCUUCCUCCACUCGAUCUCUCUUGAUUUCUUAUUUCACCUAGUGAUUUUGAUCACUUAUUGGUAAGUUUUUCUUCUUUUCUUAUUUUUUUUUUGUUUUUCAUUUUUGGUUCAUUUAUUCUUCAAAAUGUAGUUCCUUGUGGUUUAUUUCUUGGUGGUUCUUAGUUUUUAUUUACAUAUCCCUUGCCCUCUUGCUUCAUUGUGUUAAUGUUUGAGGAUUUCUGAUAUUUUUAUUGUGUUUCUUUUAUUAUAUUUUUGAGGGUCUUAGAAUAAUUUAAUUCUGUGUGUUCUUUUCCUAUCUUUAAUGUAAUGUAUGCUUCAUUUUUAUUUAUUUAUUUUUGUUUUCCCUUGUUUAUAUCUGUUAAAAAAAAAAGGUGUACACUGUUAUUUGCUUUGGUAGUUUAUGCUUCAUCUUAUGUCUUCCACUCAGCCACUAUAUCAUGCUGAUAAUUGUUAUAUACACUUGACUUGUUAACCCUGUACACAGUAGAUUGCUUUGGUGGGUUGUUUAUUUAGGCUUUUGAGGGGUGUCCUUGGUGGGGGUUUCACUGUGCCUGUUUGUUUCUGUCUGGGGGGUUGGUCUAUGGGUUGUCUGUGUUCCAUGUCUUUUAGUUCUAGCUGUCAUGGCAAAAUCAUCUAAACAGUGCAGGUCUUCUGGGUCCCAUCUUGCCUAUAACACAAAUCUUUUUCCAUCAAAAGAAAAAGCCAUCUUUUAUCGAAAUUUCUACAAGUCGAUGACCGUUCAUCUAGAACGAAAUGUCCAACCCUCUACUUUUGAAUCUAUUUCCAUUUGGUCGCUUUUUGAUGCCUUGGGUGGUGAUCUUGUUCUUCACUUUUCCGGCCAACAAAAUGUUAGUUGGAUCCAGAAAUUUUAUUGCAACAUCCACUCCAUUGAUAAAGUCUCCACUUCUUUCAAGACUCGGGCCCGCUCCAAGGAAAUCUUUGUCAAUACAGAAUACAUUCAAUUCUUUCUCAACAUUCCUCAUGUGCAUAAUUGUCAUUUUCCUUUUCUUGCCACUCGCAAUGUUGAUUUUGACAUGGUGGCUUCUGAAAUUUGUGUCACACCUUAGCCUUGGAUUACCAGGGCUCUUAUUCGUCAAAAUGAACUUUUUCCACGUUUUCGUCUUUUGAACAUCAUUGUCUGUGACAACAUUUAUGUCACUACCUAUAGUUUCAACAUGUCUCAGGACCAAGGUUAUGUCCUCUAUUGUAUAGAUCGUCGUCUCCCUAUUGAUCUUCUCGAAAUGAUUGUCGAAAAAAUGACUUUUAUGUUUGAAGGAAAAAAAAUAUUUAGGCCUUCCUUAUGGUUGUCUCAUCAAUCGAAUACUUGAGUCUAUCCCAGUCCCCUCAUCUUCAAAUGAUGACUUUGCGUGUCCAAUCAAACCUAUCACCAAAAAGACGGUGUCUCAGAGUCAAGCCCAUGUUAAGGGGGCUUUGUCUGGGGUGGGUGGUUCGGGUGUAGGUGAGGACCAAAUAGAUGAAGAUGCUGAGUCGGAUACUGUAGCUACUGGUGAGGGAGAGCAGGCUCUCCCAGCUCAUUCUAUUCGGGACAAUUUCGCCAAAUAGAGCAAGCCAUGUUUGCGCUCUUUGAUAGCUUGAAUGCUUGAAUGGACGUCUAUGAUGUUUGGAUCACGGAUCUAGAGACAUCCACUGAUGGGUGCCUUACUACGUUGGAGGCCUAUACUGGGCGGAUUGAGCAUGCCGUGGAUCAGUCCUCUCUUAAGCUUGCCCAGAUUCUUUCUAUGCUCUAGAUGCAACAGUCUCCACCUCCACUACCAUUUAAGUGAUGUUGCUUUGAUCUCUUAUGGACACAUUUUCUUUAUUUUUGCUUUUAUUUUAUUAUUAUCUAUUGGACAUGUUUUAUUAUUAUCUCCUACUGUUGGGCCACAUUUUUGUAGUUAGCAUAUUAUGUGUUCUUAGUUACUCUUUGCUGGCCUUGUUCGUUGUUAUUUUGGGAUUGUUUAGUUUUCUUUCUUUAUUUUUAUCCCUUUGUCUCUCCCGAACAAAAAGGGGGAGUAUGAUAUGAUGAUGAUAGCAUGUUGUGUUUUGGUUUUGGCUUCAUAUAUUGCUGCUAAUCAUUUUUGGUUUUGGUUUUGGAUUUAUAUCUUGUUGCUAAUCAUUUUCCUAUCCUUUCUAGCACUUGUGCGUUAUUUGUUUUCUUUGCAGGAUAGUUCUCUUCGCACGAUGUUUAGAUUGGUUAGGUUGUUAUUUGGUUUGUGUCUCGAAGUGUGUGUUUGUUAGGGAAAAAUGUUAGGUGUGUUUUGUUCGAGAAUUGACAAAGGGGGAAAUUAUUAGGUCUCUUUUGUUGUCAAUUCUGUAGACAAUCACUUUUCAAAUGUAAACUUUGUCCUUUGUUUUCUCUUGGAUUGCUCGAGCAACCACUGCAUCGCUCAAGCGAAGAAUCCUUGCUCUUCGUACUUCAAGCCCUUUGCAAAACUUCUAAGAGCUUGCUUUCUUUGCUGGAGCUCACAUUCAGUGGCUUGAGCGAAGGCACUUAUGUGUAUGCGCGUUCUAGACUCACUGCUUGAGUGAACAUUCCUUCGCUCGAGCGGCUUGUGCGACCCUGACUGCUAUAAAAUGCAACUUAUCUGAGUUUGCAGUCUCAAGUACUCUUGAGCAAUUUGCUAAGGCACUUUUCAUUGUUUUCCUUGAUGUCAUUGUGAGAUUGCUAUCUCAUUUGAAUUGAUUUGUAUGCAUCAAGGAGCUUGUCUCCAUUCAACCAUCAAGAGUGUUCAUCAGUGGAUUCUGACAUGUUGAGCCUGGAUGAUUUGAAGGAGUUCAAAGCAACUCAUAGUUGUGGAUUCAACUUAGGUGUUGUGAAUUCAACACCGUGCUAUUCAAUCUCGAGACGAAGGCGUUGGUGGAAGCGGCACAAGGAGUGGAUGACAAUACUAGAUUGAGUUGGGUUAUUGUUUGUACUCUUGUGUAAUUUCAUUAUCUUCAUAGUGAAUCGUUUAGUAGCCUUUCGCUCGUGUUAUUUA